UAAAACCAGCUCUUCAAGAGGUCGGGAUAAUUAUUGGGCUUAAAGUGUCCGUAGCCGGUUUAGUAAGUUCCUGGUAAAAUCGGGUAGCUUAACUAUCUGCAUGCUAGGAAUACUGUUAUACUAGAGGGCGGGAGAGGUCUGAGGUACUACAGGGGUAGGGGUGAAAUCUUAUAAUCCUUGUAGGACCACCAGUGGCGAAGGCGUCAGACUAGAACGCGCCUGACAGUGAGGGACGAAAGCCAGGGGAGCGAACCGGAUUAGAUACCCGGGUAGUCCUGGCCGUAAACGAUGCACACUAGGUGUUGGUAUGGCUAUGAGCCAUAUCAGUGCCGAAGGGAAACCAUUAAGUGUGCCGCCUGGGAAGUACGGUCGCAAGGCUA
rnacentral:rRNA from 1 species